AUCCCAUGAUGAGGACAUUGCCUUUGCAAACGUUUAAAUCUUCUCCAUGACUCAUACAAUGAUUCAUCUUCAGCUUGACGAAAGGUAGUUAACUCAUUCCUCAUUCU
rfam:Spinacia oleracea cultivar SynViroflay scaffold12719.con0006.1, whole genome shotgun sequence.